GGGGCUGUAGCUCAGCUGGUACGAGCACUUGCAUGGCAUGCAAGGGGUCACGGGUUCGAUCCCCGUCAGCUCCACCA
rnacentral:tRNA from 1 species